GGACUACUGGGGUAUCUAAUCCUGUUUGAUCCCCAUGCUUUCGUGCCUCAGCGUCAGUAAGAGUUUAGUGAGCUGCCUACGCAAUCGGUGUUCUGUGUCAUAUCUAAGCAUUUCACCGCUACACGACACAUUCCGCCCACUUCAAAUCUACUCAAGCUCAUCAGUAUCAAUGGCAGUUCCCAAGUUAAGCUUGGGGCUUUCACCACUGACUUAAUAAGCCGCCUACGCACCCUUUAAACCCAAUAAAUCCGGAUAACGCUUGGGACCUUCGUAUUACCGCGGCUGCUGGCAC
rnacentral:rRNA from 1 species